CUGAGAAUGGUGCUAGCAAUUGAGUCUUUGAGGAAAAUCCAUCAGGCUUAGUGGCAUUCUUACUGGGCCCUGCCCGAGCAAGCUCUAUCAGGCCCAGUGGGUCAUCACACCUAUAAUUCCAGCAAUCUGGGGAGGCCAAGGUGGGGCACAUACUUUGAGCUCAGGAGUUGAAGACCAGCCUGGGCAGCAUGGUGAAACGUCACUACAAAAAGGUGGGUUUGGUGGAACACCUGUAGUCCCAGCUACUCGGGAGGCUGAGGCAGGUGGGUCAGUUGAGCCUAGGAGGUUAACAGUGCAGUGAUCACAUCACUGCACUCCAACCUGGGUGACAAUGAGACCCUAUCUCAAAAAAAAAAAGGUUUCCAGCCUUGCCAUCAUGGUGAAACCCUGUCUCUACUAAAAAUACAAAAAUCAGCCGGGCAUAGUGGCGCAUGCCAGUAGUCCCAGCUACCUAGCAGGCUGAGGUG
rnacentral:lncRNA from 1 species